rnacentral:rRNA from 1 species
UACGAAGGGGGCUAGCGUUGCUCGGAAUUACUGGGCGUAAAGCGCACGUAGGCGGCUUUCUAAGUCGGGGGUGAAAUCCUGGAGCUCAACUCCAGAACUGCCUUCGAUACUGGAGAGCUCGAGUCCGGGAGAGGUGAGUGGAACUGCGAGUGUAGAGGUGAAAUUCGUAGAUAUUCGCAAGAACACCAGUGGCGAAGGCGGCCUCACUGGCCCGGUACUGACGCUGAGGUGCGAAAGCCGUGGGGAGCAAAC